CAUGUAAAGAAGACUAGGACACCGAGUGCCCGAGGAGUACCUUCAAGGUGUGUUCGGUCUCUUUCCACAGACUGAAUAUUCCAUUGGAAGAAGUACAACAGCCUGAGUAAACGCCUGGCACCACAGUCAGAGAAACAGCUGCAGCAGGUGCACGAAGGCCGGGAUGUCGUGACACCCAUGGUGCCACCUCUUGAUUUCUUCCCUCAAACCUGGGAAAUGGUACCAGAUGGCUACUGGGCAGCCCUCCGGACAGCCAGGCUCAUCUUAGCACCCUGGCAGCUCAACAGGAGUCCCUUCCACAGCCUCUCCUGAGAGCUUGGUAACCAGUGGGCAUUGUUCCAGAACAGCCAAUGGGGGCAGAGCACGUUCUCAUAAUGCUCCUCUGGCCAAUGGCAAGCUUCGGGCGGAGAAACAUGGAUCCUCUAUGCAUUUUGUCCCGGGGAUAGGAAGAAGAUAUAAAUGAACUAUCUGAUGAUGCCUGGCGCGUUCUCUGAAUGUUGGGAAGAGAUUAGUGCAACAUUCGCUGAGAGGACUAGAGCUCUGGCUUAGGCCCGGUGCCCCAAAUGUGUCCCUGGGCGAACAAGCAAAAUCCAGUAUGCAUUCAGAAUAAAAAUUGACCAUUAAUUGCCUA
rnacentral:lncRNA from 1 species